GCCAAUGUAGCUCAGUUGGUAGAGCGCCUGAUUUGUAAUCAGAUGGUCACGGGUUCGAUUCCUGUCAUUGGCUCCA
rnacentral:tRNA from 1 species